GGUUAUGGUGUGUGCUCGGUGGGGCUGGAGUGGCUGGCUUACCUCCUCGUGGCUUACAGCCUGGGCGCCUCAGCCGCCUCACUCCUGGUUCUGCUGGGCCUGUGGCUGCCACACCCGGUGCCCCUCGUGGCUGGAGAAGGGGUGCACCUGCUGCUCACCUUCAUCCUCUUUUUCUGGGCCCCUGUGCCUCAGGUCCUGCAACACAGCUGGAUCCUCUGUGUGGCAGCCGCCCUUUGGGGUGUGGGCAGCGCCCUGAACAAGACUGGACUCAGCAGUGGCUUGCAGCACUCCUGGGAAUCUUGUACGAAGACAAGGAGAGACAGGACUUCAUCUUCACCAUCUACCACUGGUGGCAGGCUGUGGCCAUCUUCACCGUGUACCUGGGCUCCAGCCUGCACAUGAAGGUGAGACUGGCAGGCUAAGCUGGCGGUGCUGCUGGUGACGCUGGUGGUGGCCGCGGUCUCCUACCUGCGGAUGGAGCAGAAGCUGCGGCGGGGCGUGGCCCCGCGCCAGCCCCGCAUCCCGCGGCCCCAGCACAAGGUGCGCGGUGACGGCUACUUGGAGGAGGACAACUCGGACGAGAGCGACGCGGAGGGCGAGCAUGGGGACGGCGCGGAGGAGGAGGCGCCGCCCCCGGGGCCCAGGCCUGGCCCCGAGCCCGCUGGACUCGGCCGCCGGCCCUGCCCGUACGAACAGGCGCAGGGGGGCGACGGGCCGGAGGAGCAGUGAG
rnacentral:lncRNA from 1 species